rnacentral:rRNA from 1 species
UGGGUAACCCACCCCGAUGACCGGGACAACCCGAGGAAACUCGGGCUAAUACCGGAUGAGCUCUCAUCUCACGAGGGAUGAGAGGAAAGAUAGCUUCGGCCUUCGCAUCGGGACGGGCCCGCGGCGCAUUAGCUUGUUGGUGGGGUAAAGCCUACCAAGGCGACGAUGCGUAGCUGGUCUGAGAGGACGAUCAGCCACACUGGGACUGAGACACGGCCCAGACCUCCGUACGGGAGCAG